UAUGUCUCUUAUUGAUGUAUCAUUGUUUCAAAGUAUCAAAAAUGCGGUGGCGACUGAAAUAACAAUCUCAAAGAUUAAUUGAACUAAGUGAUGGAAGUUCUCUCUUAUCGGGUGGUAUUCCAGGGGCAUAAGCCUAUCAUGGGUCUAUCCCUAUUUAUGUGUUUAUGGGUGGUAUCCCAGGGGCAUAAGCCUAUCAUGAGUCGAUCCCAGUUGAUAUGUACUGGAGGCAGCCUAAUGGUCAUAGUAUAGUACAGUAAUGAUUACA
rnacentral:lncRNA from 1 species